UACGGAGGAUCCAAGCGUUAUCCGGAUUUAUUGGGUUUAAAGGGUGCGCAGGCGGCCAAGUGUGUCAGGUGUGAAAUCCCGAGGCUUAACCUCGGAACUGCGCCUGAAACUACUUGGCUAGAGUACUGGAGAGGGUAACGGAAUUCACGGUGUAGCAGUGAAAUGCGUAGAUAUCGUGAGGAACACCAGAGGCGAAGGCGGUUACCUGGACAGUUACUGACGCUCAGGCACGAAAGCGUGGGGAGCAAAAGGG
rnacentral:rRNA from 1 species